rnacentral:rRNA from 1 species
UCGCUACUACCGAUUGAAUGGUUUGAUGAGUUCCGAGGAUAGUGAGCUUCCGGGCUUUGUCCGGUUGAGCGCUAGAGCAGGUGCAAAUCUGAUCAUUUAGAGGAAGUAA